ACCCACCGGGGGAGGCCACGACUUCAGGCCGAGCGGGAGCGUCGCUGAGUCGGUGUGAGGACGGUGGAUGUCUCGCCGAGGAUCGGAGAGGUUCAGGAGGGAGGGAGUGACUGAAAGGCUUUAACGGACAUUGAUCGGACAUUUAAGGGACAUUUCACGGAUUUGUCGGCGGCGGCUGCAGCAGCUGCAUGUUAAACCACAGCAGAGGAGCCUGAGGGUGAUGUGGAGGCUCAGAUUGGAUCAGAUGCACUGAUUCACCCUCGCGUCUCCAGAGCUGAGCGCCGGCUGUGCACCAUCAGCAGCAGCAGCCUCCUUCCCCGCGAGAGAGAGAACAAACCAUUCAACAACGUCGAAAGUUGCCUACUUCAAGAGGAAAUAUGCGGAGGAGGAGGAUUUACACGGAGGCCUACAUGGAUAUUUUCAAAAACACCUGAUACUGCAGGAGGACCGCAGCUGCAUCCUGAAGCUGUCCCUGGAGAAGCUGAGGUUCCUGGAGGACCCCGAGGCCUACCUGCGGCGCUCCGUCCUCAUCAACAACCUGCUGAGGAAGAUCCACCAUGAGGAGGAGGAGCUGGAGGCUGGGGAGGAGGAGGAGGAGGAAGAAGAAGAUGAUGUAGAGGAGGAAGAGGAAGAGGAAGAGGAGGAAGUCAUUGGGGCGAGUGGGCAGCGGAGGCUGAUGUACCCGGACAGGAAGAGAGUGAAGGUGCUGGUGACGGACUGCUGCUCUCCACCGUUUGGCCUUGAGGACCUGCAGCACUACCGGCUGGUGCCCUGUUACCCUGCAGCCGGAUGCCUGUACGGCCUGGGCUCGUGUCCGGGCCUCACCCCGAGGCACCAGGUGCUCCUGUACAACCUGGACGACAACGGCUGACUCCGCAGAGCCCUCGCCAUCGGGCCUCUGUUCACCAAGUCAGGAGAAAGACAAACAUGCACCGUUUGUUUGAGGACAAGCUGCCGACCUCUCCCCCUUCGGGGUCGCGUGUCCUCGGCCUCCUCUCGUCUCCUCGACAGGAGGCAGCAGCAGCAGAUGGAAGACGCUGAGAAACCCUGAUUCUUCUCCUGCCUCAGCAUCAACAGGGUCGUUUAGUAUCCGUGCGAAUGUGAAGGACUCUGAGCAGGACUUUCGUUUGAUUUUGAUUUUAUUCGUAUUUGCUUUUCGUUGUAACUGUUGCUCGUGUGGACUCAUGAGCUUAUUCAGGGAUUUACAGACCGCAGGCUACUUCUGACGCACCUCGACUCGUUCACGGACGCUUGUAUGCUUCUGUUAUCUUUCGAUGCUAACGUGUGAUUUAUGAAACAUUCUCCGGACCCUCGUCCUCUGAGGUGCUUUCACUGCCUGUGGGAGAAACGAUCGUUUCUGGUUGUGUUCGAUGUCCUGUGUUCAUUCAAUGGGCUCUUGCUUGUUUUUCAUUUAUUCUAUCACUUUGCUGCCCUCUGCUGGUCAAAGAAUUCCCUGGAAGCCCUUCUUCACUUGAUUUGAUAAUGAUGAGAAAAAAACAUGCAGUUAUAAGCAGAUUCAUUUUAUUAAUGUAUUUAUAAACAAUAUGUAAUAAAUAGAAGGUGUAAGGAUAUGACUUAUAUCCUCAUGGAUAAAGUUAAAUUAAUAAUAAAGUAUUUUUAAAUGUCA